GGGUCAGUAGGUUGGUCGUGCCACCGGUACGUACUGGUCUCACUGAUUCCUCCUUCCUGGGGAACCGUAAUGCCAUUAAUUUGGUGUUGCGGGAAACAGGACUGUUACUUUGAAAAAAUUAGAGUGUUUAAAGCAAGCUAACGCUUGAAUACAUUAGCAUGGAAUAAUGAAAUAGGACGAUCGAUCCUAUUUUGUUGGUUUCUAGGAUUGACGUA
rnacentral:rRNA from 1 species